UGAACCAGCGGAAGGAUCAUUACAGAGUUAUACAACUCCCACACCAU
rnacentral:rRNA from 1 species